UUAAUUUGGUUGUUACUUUUUACUGCAUAAAUUAAAGUGUGUUUAUUUUCAUUUUAAAUAAGGUGAUUUGAGCUGGAUGUUCAUUAAUAAAUUUGUGUAUGAGUGUUUAUAGUGUGCUAAUUCUUAUGAGUGUCUUUCAUGCUUAAUUAUCUAACUUGUAGGUGACUAUUCAUAUGGCUAAUUGACUUUUCAAGUUUGGACAUUUUUCGAGCCUUCAAAGAUCAUCAUGGUGGCUGUUCAAAUGGUCCAAGAGUGUCUUUUCAAAUUUGUUUAGUUUUAAAGCAUUCAAAGCUAGUUAAGGAGCCAAUUAAAGAGAUGAAUGCACAAGUUUUUUGACAUUUAGUUUAAGGGGGAUGAAGGGACACCAAACAAAACAUUAAGGGUUCAUUAAGUCAUCAAUAAAGUGAAGGGACAUGCCUUUUCGUCUACAUCAGAAUCAAGUGAAGAGACAUAACUAUUGUCUUCCUUACAAGAGUUUAAAACGAAAUUAAUGCUUGUAACUGUAAUAGUCCGAUUUAGACCCUAAUCAGAAUGGUGGUUUCGAG
rnacentral:lncRNA from 1 species